rnacentral:rRNA from 1 species
GAUGAACGCUAGCUACAGGCUUAACACAUGCAAGUCGAGGGGCAGCAUGGUCUUAGCUUGCUAAGGCCGAUGGCGACCGGCGCACGGGUGAGUAACACGUAUCCAACCUGCCGUCUACUCUUGGACAGCCUUCUGAAAGGAAGAUUAAUACAAGACGGCAGCAUGAGUCCGCAUGUUCACAUGAUUAAAGGUAUUCCGGUAGACGAUGGGGAUGCGUGCCAUUAGAUAGUAGGCGGGGUAACGGCCCACCUAGUCUUCGAUGGCUAGGGGUGCUGAGGGGAGCGUCCCCCACAUGGGGACUGGGACCCGGUCCACACUCCUACGGGAGGCAGCCGUGCGGGAGAUUGGUCAAUGGACGAGAGCCUGAUCCAGCCAAGUCGCGUGAAGGAUGGCUGCCCUCUGGGUUGUAAACUUCUUUUAUAAAGGAGUAAUGUCGGGUAUGGAUGCCCGUUUGCCUGUACUUUAUGAAUAAGGAUCGGCUAACUCCGUG